GGAGCGACGGUGAGAUCCGCCGUGGCCUGUAGUUAACGAACGGAUAUCAGCAGUGGCAUGGGAGCACUGCACAGGAGGAUCUCACAACAGGAGAUGCUAUUGCUGUGCCGCGCCAUCAGGCCAGGGUGGGUGCCUCGUUGAAUUGGAUCCAUCACGCCGAUGCUCUCUAGCCACCGUGAUGUGAGGGACGCCCUGGAGGCCUGAGCACGACCACGCACGGAAGUUCAGCAGCGACGAGAGCGUCCGGCCAACGCAAACCCUGCACACCCCAGUUGUGAGAAGAUUCGAUCACUCAUUCGAGCCAUUAUAUCCUGUUCUUUCCAACGACUUCCUCCGUCGCGUACGACGCAGGCCGACCACCCACGGAUUUUGUAUAGGGAAUGUUGUUUUCCCCGGGCAGUUGCCACAGUCCGGCAACAGGCGCGCCACGACGUGUCCCGCGUCCACACCGUACCAACGCCACUCCCCGCUGCUCUGCCGCCCGCCCACGCUUCGCUGCUUUUCUCCACACGCCACGCCCGCCGGCCGUCCUGCCCAUCCUCUGCUCCCUAUCUCUCUUGCUCUCUCUCUCGGCCUCUCUCUGCCCGCGCGCGCUCUCUUUCGGACUCUAGCUCGUGCGCAAUGGCAUCAGCGGGAGGGGGCGGCAUUGACGGCGCAGCGGGGACGACGACCAAGAAGAAGAAGAGAAUCUCCGACUGCCUCGUCGACAGCGACGGCGGGGACGAGGUGGCGGGGGAGGACGCCAUGCCGCCCUCGCCGCCUUCCCCCGGGACGCCGCGGCUGCGCAUCCCGAUGUUCACCUGCGCGCGGCUUCGGUUCGUCAGGCUCGGCAGGAAAGGCGGCGCCGGACGGAAGGAUCAGGUCGCCGCCGAGAAGAGCGAGGCCGCGUCGACCGACUCCUCAGCAGCAGGAUGGAAAGCGGCGAGCAGCGGCGCGUCGUCGACGGAAACGGCCGGCAUGGGGCUGAGCCUGCUGUUCCUCCUCGCCAAGACCUGCGUCGAGCUCAACAAGAUGGCCGAGGUGCGCGCGGAGAUGGAGGGGCUCCUGCGGGAGAUGAGGGACCAGCUGGUGGUCAGGACGACCAAGGUCGCCACGACGACUGAUUCGCCGUGCCAGUGCCAGGCUUCGUCCAGUACGCGCACGGACGGCCAAGACGCCGGCGCCACCUCUUCGUCUUCUCCCGAACCGGCGCGUCGCCGCCAUUUCCGUCGUGAUAGGCGUGCUGGACGGAAACGGAGAGACGGGCCGUUCUACGCCCUGACAGGAAACCCGCUGUUCGACCUCGAGCGAGAGCCGUGUGGCCGCGCUGCCGCCUCCUCGUCUGCCAUGGAGACCGCGAGCGGCGCGAGCGAGACGUCGUCUGAAGUGGAGGACCCAUCGAGCUCCAUGGCCGUGGAUGUCGCUGGGGCGCAGUUGCAGCUCAACUGCCGCACCGAGCAAGGAACACCCGAGUCGUCGUCGGACGGGGAGUCGUUCAUCGAGCUGGACGGGGGAUUCGGAGCCGGAGCCGGUAGAGGCGGGUACAGUGUGCGAGGCGGUGGCGAGAUUCAGAGGACGGACAGGAGGAGGCGGAGGAGGAGCGCGGCGACGAGGGGGUGCCGGCGCUCGAGCUGGAGAGGCGGCUGCAGGAGCUCCUGCACCGGAGGAGCCGGGAGCGGAUCGAGGAGCUGGAGGCGUCGCUGCGGCACGCGGAGCGGAAGGUGAUGGAGAAGGAGAUGGAGGCGCGGCUGUGGAAGGACACCGCCAAGCUCGCGCUGCAGCCGGGCACGCGCGGCGGUACGGGGCAGUGAUCCAUAUCGACCGUACGUAGUACGUACCUCGUGCGGCAGUGAUUAGUGAAUCCGGUGCAUUUCCGAAUCUAGGCGAGAGCCCGAACGUGCUUUGUACAUGCUGCACACGUGCACGGGUAAACGGGAAAAGCUUAGGUCCAGUUAGACUCCUGGCUGGCUGAUGAUGUACAUACUUGGUGCUGGCGGGUAUACUGCAGAAAGGUCUUUUGAAGAACUUUUUGUUUAUUUCAGCUAAGCGCUGAUCAACAAUUACUUAUUUUUUUAGUUUGCUUAUGUGACAUAACGUGUAUCACUGGUGU